UGGGGAAUAUUGCACAAUGGGCGCAAGCCUGAUGCAGCCAUGCCGCGUGUGUGAAGAAGGCCUUCGGGUUGUAAAGCACUUUCAGCGAGGAGGAAGGUGGUGAACUUAAUACGUCAUCAAUUGACGUUACUCGCAGAAGAAGCACCGGCUAACUCCGUGCCAGCAGCCGCGGUAAUACGGGGGGUGCAAGCGUUAAUCGGAAUUACUGGGCGUAAAGCGCACGCAGGCGGUUUGUUAAGUCAGAUGUGAAAUCCCCGGGCUCAACCUGGGAACUGCAUUUGAAACUGGCAAGCUAGAGUCUCGUAGAGGGGGGUAGAAUUCCAGGUGUAGCGGUGAAAUGCGUAGAGAUCUGGAGGAAUACCGGUGGCGAAGGCGGCCCCCUGGACGAAGACUGACGCUCAGGUGCGAAAGCGUGGGGAGCAAACAGGAUUAGAUACCCUGGUAGUCCACGCUGUAAACGAUGUCGAUUUUGGAGGUUGUGCCCUUGAGGCGUGGCUUCCGGAGCUAACGCGUUAAAUCGACCGCCUGGGGAGUACGGCCGCAAGGUUAAAACUUAAAGGAAUUGACGGGGUC
rnacentral:rRNA from 1 species